rnacentral:misc_RNA from 1 species
UGUCAUUCUGUGAAAUCAAGAGGGAUGCUGCCCUGGCUGUUGCUGAGGCCAUGGCAGACAAAGCUGAGCUGGAGAAGCUGGACCUGAAUGGCAACACCCUGGGAGAAGAAGGCUGUGAACAGCUUCAGGAGGUGCUGGAGGGCUUCAACAUGGCCAAGGUGCUGGCGUCCCUCAGUGAUGACGAGGACGAGGAGGAGGAGGAGGAAGGAGAAGAGGAAGAAG